AAGACUAUACUUUCAGGGAUCGUUUCUAUAAUUUGUUACUAGAGAAGUUUCUCGGACUGUGUAGAAUACCAGAAACCAUGAGGAGGAGAUGUAGCAUUCUCUCCUGAGCGUGAAGCCGGCUCUUGGUGUUGCUUCGAUGCAACCACCUUUUGCCAUUGAUGAUCCUUCUUCUCUCUUUCUACUCAGAGGGAGAGGAUGCAGUCUGACUGUU
ensembl:snoRNA U3 Small nucleolar RNA U3